rnacentral:rRNA from 1 species
UACGUAGGGUGCAAGCGUUAAUCGGAAUUACUGGGCGUAAAGCGUGCGCAGGCGGUUGUGCAAGACAGAUGUGAAAUCCCCGGGCUCAACCUGGGAACUGCAUUUGUGACUGCACGGCUGGAGUGCGGCAGAGGGGGAUGGAAUUCCGCGUGUAGCAGUGAAGUGCGUAGAUAUGCGGAGGAACACCGAUGGCGAAGGCAAUCCCCUGGGCCUGCACUGCGCUCAUGCACGAAAGCGUGGGGAGCGAACAGG